CACACACGCACAUGUACACACACAUUUUCAUUUGUUUUUGAUGUGCUAAUUUCAUUUACUCAUGCACCCCCCACCCCUCCUCCCCUAGCCAGGAGGCAAUUAGGGACAUGGUGGCGUCUGCAUACUAGGUUCGGUUUGCCCCUAGCAGAACUCGGCUAGGCGAAGUGAACGUCUGUGCCUCGCAUACGCCCUUAAUCGUUCGCUUGAAAAACUAGAAAAAAGCGGCAAUAGUACUGUUUGUCCCUCUUGAGACGCUGCAGCCAGUAUAUGCUUCCUCAAAAUAGUCUGAAUGAAUCUGUCAUUAAUUUUGACAUUUUUGCUGCUUAGUCACAUAAUUUUACAUCUAAAUUUGAUGUUUGGUGCAGUAUUUCUCAAGUGAAAAAAUGCGUUGAAUGACAACAAACACUUAAUUGAAGAAUCCCUACUGUUGACCAAUCAACGAAGGGGCCUAGACUUUGGCUACCGAACUUCGGCAUGCCUCAGGAUAAAAUAUCGUGCCACAAACAGUCGAGAAAACCCUUGCUGAACAACAAAACAAACAAAAACGUGACAAAAUAUCAUCAUAAUGCACAAACUGUUUUGGAUAGGAAGCAUGCAGAUGGCUUAAAGAGGAUCCAUUCAGACCGUAGCAGAGGUAUCUGGGAUGGAGGCCAGAACAUCCCCAUGCCCUAACACUCCCCUCCCCUCACCUCCCCUCCCCCACCUGCCCAAACUUCCCUCACGAUGCCCUCCCCUCACCUACCCUACUCUCCUCACCUAAUCUAACUCCCCUCAUUAAGCCCCCACUCCCUUCACCUGCACUAACCCUCCCCUUAUCUGCCCUCUCCUGCCCUCCCCUCACCUCCCCUCACCUGCCCUAACUCCCCUCACCAUGCCCUUACCAUGCCCUAAACCCUCCCCUUACCUACCCUGCCCUCCCCUCCCCUCACCUGCCCUAAAUCCCCACACCAUGCCCUCCCCUCACCAUGCCCUCCCCUCACCAUGUGCUAACCCUCCCCUUACCUCCUCUGCCAUAACCCCCUCACCUGCCCUAACCCUACCCUCACCUGCCCUCCCCUCACCUAUCCUACCCUACCCUCAACCACCCGAACUCCGCUCCCCUCACCUGCCCUAACCCCCCUUACCUCACCUGUCCUCCACUCACUUGCCCUAACCCUACCCUACCCUCACCUGCCCUGCCCUCCCCUACCCUCCUCUCCCCUCCCCUCACUUGCCCUAACCCUACCCUCACCUGCCCUCUCGUCCUCUCACAGUUCUAUGUUAUUCAGAGGGUUCAUUCUAUAGGGGGAUGACUAUUAAGCACAGUUCUAUGUUAUUCAGAGGGUUCAUUCUAUAGGGGGAUGACUAUUAAGCACAAUUAUAUGUCAUUCAGUGGACCAGUAUGCUACAGAAACAGAGAAGCAUUUAAAUGCAAAUAAAUGUGGUGCAUGCUUUAAACAGACAGACGUCCUCUUCGAUCAAAGGUGACGACCACCAAUUCUAAAUCGAUCCCUAUCUAUUCUAGGCACCUGAACUAUAGGUAAUGAGAUGGAAGCAAUAUGGUGAACAACAACUCAAACUAGUAUAUUAGGGGUCAAUUUGAAACUAUUAACAUAUUAUUAAUGCACAGUUGAAGUCCGAAGUUUCCAUGCACCUUAGCCAAAUACAUUUAAACUCAGUUUUCACAAUUCCUGAAAUUUAAUCAUAGUAAAAAUGCCCUGUCUUAGGUCAGUUUGUCACUACUUCCACUGAAGGUGGCUCCUCUCCCUGUUCGGGCGGCUCUCGGCGUUGCCGGUCUACUAGCUUCCACCGAUCUCUUUUCUUUUUCGUUUGGUUUUGUCUGUCUUGUUGUUCACCUGUGUCUAGUUUAGGUCAUUAGUGGGGUAUUUAAUCUUGCUCUACCCUCUUGGUUUUGUGCGGGAUUGUUCUUGUAGCUGUCAUUUGUUUGGGUUGCGUUUUGGUUUGUUCUGUUGAACAGGAGUUUUUUCUGGACUGCGUUCCUGUCGUUUUGUGGCUACUGUUGUGGUCCUGUUCCUGUUCUUUGGACUUGUAAAUAAACGCCCUUUCUUGCAAUUCGCUCUCUCCUGCACCUGACUCCACACCCACCUCUCAAAGGGAGAAACUGACAGAAUCCCACACCACAAUCAUGGAGUCAGCAGGAGCGGACGCGCCCUCUCCGUCCAUGGAGGAACAUGUCCUCCAGCAUACAGCCGUGCUACACCACCUGGGGACAGCCAUGGAUCAAGUGUUGGCGAGAAUGGAGAGAUGGGAGAGGAGCGGCCUCCCUAUCCCGUCAUCAGCCACUCUCCAGCCUGCACCUCCACCUUCUCCGGCGGCGUCCGGCCCCAGCAGGAUUCGGCUCGCGCUCCUGAGGGAGUACGAUGGGACGGCUUCCGGGUGCAAGGGGUUCCUGUUCCAGCUGGAGCUUUGCCUGGCGACCGUUCACCCGACUCCCUCGGGAGGGGAGAGUGUCAACGUCCUCGUGGGCCCCGCGGUCUGGGAGGGUCCAGAUUCGGCGAGGGACCAUUACCCAGAGUUCACCCGCUUCCGGGCUGUGUUCGAUCACCCACCAGAGGGCAGAGUGGUGGGUGAAAGGCUGUUCCAUCUGAGGCAGAAGACGAGGAGCGCACAGGAUUCCACGCUGGAGUUCCGGACCCUAGCUGCCGGCGCGGUCCACCUAUAGUGGCCCUGAUGGAUCACUAUAGGUGUAGCCUGCGAGAGGACAUCCGCAGGGAGCUAGCUUGUUGAGACACCACCCUCACUCUGGACCAACUGAUCGACAUGUCUAUCAGGCUGGACAACUUGCUGGCUGCUCGCGGUCGUCCAGAUAGGGUUCUGUUCAUUCCACCUCCCAGCCCUCCCGGUCUGACACCCGUGUAGUUAGGGAGGGCUGCAGCUAGGGCGACCAGAGGAGGAGCCUCCUCCUGCACCAGUUGUGGUCGGAGAGGGCACACUUCUGACCGGUGCUGGAGGAGCUCGUCUGGAAGUCGAGAGGGCAGGCAGAGCACUGCUGGGACACCUCAGGCCGGUGGUAGCUGGUCCACUGCAGGACGUUGAGGUGCGGGAGGUCCCUCCACCCCCCCCUGGACAUUUUUGGGGGGCCCGGCGUACACUGUGCGUUCCAUCCUGGACUCUAGGCGUCGGUUGAGGGGCCUGCAAUACCUCAUGGAUUGGGAGGGGUACAGUCCGGAGGAGAGGUGCUGGGUGCCGGUGGGGGACAUCUUGUACCCAUCUCUGCUGGGUGAGUUCCACCGCCUCCAUCUGGGUCGCCCAGCGCCUCGCCCUCCGGGUUGUCCUCGAGGCCGGGCGUCGGCGCGUUGCGGGAGCCAUGCGUCAAGGGGGGGGGUACUGUCACAACUUCCAAAGAAGGUGGCUCCUCUCCCUGUCCGGGCAACGAACAGCGGUUGUCGUUGCCGGUCUACUAGCUGCCACCGAUCCCUUUUCUUUUUCGUUUGGUUUUGUCUGUCUUGUUGUUCACCUGUGUCUAGUUUAAGUUAUUAGUGGGGUAUUUAAUCUCGCUCUACCCUCUUGGUUUUGUGCGGGAUUGUUCGUGUAGCUGUCAUUUGUUUGGGUUGCGUUUUGGUUUGUUCUGUUGAACAGGAGUUUUUUCUGGACUGCGUUCCUGUUGUUUUGUGGCUACUGUUAUGGUCCUGUUCCUGUUCUUUGGACUUGUAAAUAAACACCCUUUCUUGCAA
ensembl:lncRNA